rnacentral:rRNA from 1 species
AUUGAACGCUGGCGGCAGGCCUAACACAUGCAAGUCGAGCGGAUGAAGGGAGCUUGCUCCUGGAUUCAGCGGCGGACGGGUGAGUAAUGCCUAGGAAUCUGCCUGGUAGUGGGGGAUAACGUCCGGAAACGGGCGCUAGUACCGCAUACGUCCUGAGGGAGAAAGUGGGGGAUCUUCGGACCUCACGCUAUCAGAUGAGCCUAGGUCGGAUUAGCUAGUUGGUGGGGUAAAGGCCUACCAAGGCGACGAUCCGUAACUGGUCUGAGAGGAUGAACAGUCACACUGGAACUGAGACACGGUCCAGACUCCUACGGGAGGCAGCAGUGGGGAAUAUUGGACAAUGGGCGAAAGCCUGAUCCAGCCAUGCCGCGUGUGUGAAGAAGGUCUUCGGAUUGUAAAGCACUUUAAGUUGGGAGGAAGGGCAGUAAGUUAAUACCUUGCUGUUUUGACGUUACCAACAGAAUAAGCACCGGCUAACUUCGUG